AUAGUUGUUUUUUAGACAUGAUAAAUAAGUAUAAAAAAAGCCAUUCAGUACGUCAUUAAAACAUUCACCUUGAGCUAAAAGAAAAAAGAAACUAUUCAGUUAUUCUUUUGUUCUUAACUAUGCAAAGUAGUGUGUACUGUAGUGUCAUUUUCCGGGGGGAGGGAUUUAGUUGUGUUUUUGCAGGUUAUAAUACGGGUGUUCAUGGAUGUACUAGUGUGAAUAUCCCUGGAUAAAUUGUGCUGGUCAAACAAAUCCUGCUGAGCGUUAAUUUGCAAAACAAGGUGAAAAUAUUGACGCACUAGGGGAUCAGUUUUAUUGUGCCGUUUCAGGAGUGCUUUAACAAAACAAACAUAUAGUAGAUUGUGUUAUUGGGCAACAACUACAAGGUGUCCUGAUAAGGAGCGCAGGAGGUGGAUAAUGUUUGACAGGACUGUUGUGACGACGGAUCAAAGGUCCAAGUCUGUUUUCCUGUCAGAUCCACCUUCACACUUCAGAGGGAUUUCUGUCUGCCAGUGAGAGAAAAUCUGAUCCUGGCUUUCUAGUGCGUGGGAGCAUCCUGUCUGCAGCACCAUGGAGGAAUUGGCCUUCUACCCAGCGGUGGCACUGAUGUAUUUUUUCGGGGUGAUGAAAGCCACGCAGGACGAUCGGGUGGAGCUGGACGACCGGGCGUCAAAGAACGUGUUCUGCCUGUUCGUGCUGGCACAGCCGCUUUGUCUGGUCUUGGGAGGAUACACUGGCAUGGCUACAUACCUCCUCACAGCUCUAGUCUCCUACAACUUUCUGCCCUGGAGGAAUCAGCCUGCUAAGGGAAAAGAUUCAAAGAAGAAGACAAAGUGAGGAAAUGAAACAAACACUGAAUGGAGAAAGAGACAGUAGAUAUCAUUGGUUGGAAAAGAAAAAAUAUAGAAUGUAUAUGUAUGUAUAUAUAUAUAUAUAUAUAUAAUGUAAAGAAUAAGAUUUCCAGGUGAAACUGUUUUUAUAUAAGAAUAAAUCAAUGCGAUGGUCAACCAUGCGAUACAGUUUUUUUUUCAUCUGUGGUUGUAAACAUCUGUGAGAAGGUACUUUAUCCAGGAACAUUACGCUCUGUUCUGCAGAGGAAGUGACUCAUUAUUUCCUAAUGUAGCAAUGGGGUUUAUUUUAGACUAAUGGAAGGGUCAGCCGUAUAGCUGUAAUGGAGUCGGAUGAAAGUUCUGGAAAGUUUUAUAAAUCCCUGUGUGCCUUAAUUUUACAAAAAAUAUCAAAAGUUAUCAAUUUAGGCAAAAAAGCUUUUGACCAAAAUUAGAGAUUAUUAUGCAAAGUGAAGAACGCUCUUUUCUGUACUGUACAUUUAAAGAUGCCACUGGUAGGCGGUUAGUCUAGUUAACACAAAAAUGUAUAAAAGGGAAAUACUUACCCAGGUUAUAUUCCACAAAUCCAUCUACCGGCAAAUGUAAAGUGACAACAAAUGUCUUAUUUUUUCAUUAAAAAAUAAAUACAUAACUGAAAAAGAACAACCUGUUGUUUCCACACCUCAGCUUUUGUACAGAGGGUUUAUGUGCUGCAUUAGUUAUUGGUUGCUUCUUUUAGUAUAUCAUUUAUUAUGUAAUGAUCAAAAGCUUUAUAGGUGCUGGUAGGCAGACCUUGUUACAUAGUGACUGAUAUAAGUGGUAUACAUUUGUACAUUACAUUCUCUACAAGAAAAGGAAUAAACAUAUUACCCAAAAGGGGAAAAUAUUAUUUUAAGUGUGGAACUACUAAGUCAUAUCAAUUUAACACCAUUAUACCUCAAUGGAUACCAAAUUUACCAUGAACGUGACCAUUUUUUGAAUACAUGUAAUAUUAAAUACCACUUCACAAGCUCCUCCUGUAAAUUCUACCCAAAAGACAUUAUUCUCUAAUAAUAACAGUGUUGUGUUUUUAAUUAUCCACCCAUGUUCAGAAAUGACUGUGUCCCUCUGAUGUGUUAAAACUGGUAGUGUGGCGACUCUGUGUGUGUGUGUCGGGCUCAAAGAGAGAGUGUAUAAUGGGAUUAGACCGUGCUAUUUAGUUGAUAGUCCGAGGCUUUGUUCAACAUGCAGAUGCUCGCUGUGUGUAUCUGAGAAACAGUGGGGAUUUUUUUAUUAAAGAUGUUCAUGACUU